rnacentral:rRNA from 1 species
GAUGAACGCUAGCGGCAGGCCUAACACAUGCAAGUCGAACGGUAACAGGAGAUUGCUUGCAAUCUUGCUGACGAGUGGCGCACGGGUGCGUAACGCGUAUAGAACCUACCUUUUACUGGGGGAUAGCCCAGAGAAAUUUGGAUUAAUACCCCAUAGUAUUAUUGCUUGGCAUCGAGUAAUAAUUAAAGCGAUAAGCGGUAAAAGAUGGCUAUGCGUCCUAUUAGCUAGAUGGUGUGGUAACGGCACACCAUGGCUACGAUAGGUAGGGGUCCUGAGAGGGAGAUCCCCCACACUGGUACUGAGACACGGACCAGACUCCUACGGGAGGCAGCAGUGAGGAAUAUUGGACAAUGGUCGGAAGACUGAUCCAGCCAUGCCGCGUGCAGGAAGACUGCCCCUAUGGGUUGUAAAACUGCUUUUAUACGGGAAGAAUAAGGUCUACGUGUAGACUGAUGACGGUACCGUAUGAAUAAGCAUCGGCUAACU